rnacentral:tRNA from 1 species
AGGGGGGUAGAGGAAUUGGUCAACUCAUCAGGCUCAUGACCUGAAGACUGCAGGUUCGAAUCCUAUCCCCGCCU